rnacentral:rRNA from 1 species
UACGUAGGGUGCGAGCGUUAAUCGGAUUUACUGGGCGUAAAGCAUGCGCAGGCGGCCCGUUAAGACAGGUGUGAAAUCCCUGGGCUCAACCUAGGAAUUGCGCUUGUGACUGGCGGGCUCGAGUACGGUAGAGGGGGGUGGAAUUCCUGGUGUAGCAGUGAAAUGCGUAGAGAUCAGGAGGAACACCGAUGGCGAAGGCAGCCCCCUGGGCCUGUACUGACGCUCAUGCACGAAAGCGUGGGGAGCAAACAGG